UACGUAGGGACCAAGCGUUGUCCGGAAUCAUUGGGCGUAAAGCGCGUGUAGGCGGCUUGGCAAGUCAGUUGUGAAAGCCCGGGGCCCAACCCCGGAACUGCAUCUGAAACUGCCUAGCUAGAGUCCCGGAGAGGAAGGCAGAAUUCCCGGUGUAGGGGUGAAAUCCGUAGAUAUCGGGAGGAAUACCAGCGGCGAAGGCGGCCUUCUGGACGGUGACUGACGCUGAGACGCGAAAGCGUGGGGAGCAAACAGG
rnacentral:rRNA from 1 species